UUUCUGAUUCUGCAUGACAAUGUUUGAACUUGGGCAUACAGAAGAGGUAAUCAAUUAAGAGCAAUCCACUGAUUCUUUCCUAGGACUCACUGAUACUUACCUGAUAUCCAGAAGUCUGAAAUCUGUGCUAGGCAUAUGUCUUUUCCUCAGCCUUCUUCCAUAGGUGCACCUUCAGACUUUAACAAUAGACCUCUGGAGAACUCAUUUCCAAAGCACCAAUAUGGAUCAGUUCUACCACACUCAAUGCCAGACAAUUUGGGCCAAAUCGGAUCUGCGUGAGCCUUGUGUGCCUGCAAAGUGCAGGAUUGCAGGAUCGGCCAUACUGCUGUCGAAGAUAAUGGACGGGAAAGGCCAAAUUUCUGGUGUGUGUACCAUGCUUUGAAGCAAGGAGUAAAAGGGUUUCCCAUCCUUAAGCAUAUCAA
rnacentral:lncRNA from 12 species